UACGUAGGGUGCGAGCGUUAAUCGGAAUUACUGGGCGUAAAGCGUGCGCAGGCGGUUCGCUAAGACAGAUGUGAAAGCCCCGGGCCUAACCUGGGAACUGCGUUUGUAACUGGCGGGCUGGAGUGCGGAAGAGGGAGGUGGAAGUCCACGUGUAGCAGUGAAAUGCGUAGAGAUGUGGAGGAACACCGAUGGCGAAGGCAGCCUCCUGGUCUAGCACUGACGCUCAUGCACGAAAGCGUGGGGAGCAAACAGG
rnacentral:rRNA from 1 species